GACUCUGUGGCGCAACGGUAGCGCGUCUGACUCCAGAUCAGAAAGGCUGCGUGUUCAAAUCACGUCAGGGUCA
rnacentral:tRNA from 1 species